GAUGAACGCUAGCGGCAGGCCUAAUACAUGCAAGUCGAGCGGGAUUAAGUAGCAAUACUUAUGAGAGCGGCGCACGGGUGCGUAACGCGUAUGCAACCUACCCACAACUGGAGGAUAGCUUUCGGAAACGGAAAUUAAUACUCCAUAAUGCAGGGGUACCGCAUGGUACUAUUUGCUAAAGAUCUAUUGGUUGUGGAUGGGCAUGCGUCUGAUUAGUUAGUUGGUGAGGUAACGGCUCACCAAGACCACGAUCAGUAGGGGUCUGAGAGGAUGAUCCCCCACACUGGCACUGAGAUACGGGCCAGACUCCUACGGGAGGCAGCAGUAGGGAAUAUUGGGCAAUGGGCGGAAGCCUGACCCAGCCAUGCCGCGUGAAGGAAGAAGGCCUUCUGGGUUGUAAACUUCUUUUAUACAGGAAGAAAAAGGUCAUGCGUGGCCUCUUGACGGUACUGUAUGAAUAAGCACCGGCUAACUCCGUGCCAGCCGCCGCAGUAAGAC
rnacentral:rRNA from 1 species